rnacentral:misc_RNA from 1 species
AACCAGGUAGCAUUCCUCACGGACAUCGAGCCGCACGAAGCUUGCGCUCAAGCGGCACAGAUUGUCGUUCGAAUGUAUCUUUCGAUGAUUAUCGUGGGCAAAUAGAGGUCGAAGACCCCACGCCCCCAGUGUAUUCCGCAUCCCGAAGCCCAAACGAGGAGUCGUGCCCCGCGACGACGAAGCCGAUGGCUUGAAGACAGGGAGCACAAAUCUCGUUUCGAGGUUCACCCGAAGUCGCUCCGUGUAAACGGUCGACCCUAGGUGGACGAGGUAUUAUUUGCCAAUCGAAUUCCACUAUGUGGGUAUGCAACACAGGAAACCGACCGAACGGCCAAGGCUAAGAGUCGCUCUUGGGCCAACCAUUGAAGAGGACCGCACGGUCGGACGUCACCGCACGAAGCAGGGAUCCAACCAACCCAUACAAG